AGCAAAUAGAUACCCCGGUAGUCCCAGCUGUAAACGAUGCAGACUAGGUGUUUGGACGGCCACGUGCCGUUCUAGUGCCGCAGGGAAGCUGUUAAGUCUGCCGCCUGGGGAGUACGAUCGCAAGAUUGAAACUUAAAGGAAUUGGCGGGGGAGCACCACAAGGGGUGAAGCUUGCGGUUUAAUUGGAGUCAACGCCGGAAAUCUCACCGGGAGCGACAGCAGUGUGAUAGCCAGAUUAAAGGUCUUGCUAGACGAGCUGAGAGGAGGUGCAUGGCCGUCGCCAGUUCGUGCCGUGAGGUGUCCCGUUAAGUCAGGCAACGAUCGAGACCCGCGUCCUCUGUUGCAACCAGUCUUGUGCUGGGCACACUGAGGAGACCGCCACUGAUAAAGUGGAGGAAGGAGCGGGCCACGGCAGGUCAGUAUGCCCCGAAUCUCCCGGGCCACACGCGAGCUGCAAUGGCAGGUACAAUGGUUCCGACCUUGUAAAGGGAAGGCAAUCUCGAAAGCCUGCCGUAGUUGGGAUCGA
rnacentral:rRNA from 1 species